UGGGGUGGCAGGUAGCCUAGUGGUUAGAGAGUAGCGGUGGCAGGUAGCCUAGUGGUUAGAGAGUAGAGGUGGCAGGUAGCCUAGUGGUUAGAGUGUAUAGGUGGCAGGUAGCCUAGUGGUUAGAGUGUAGAGGUGGCAGGUAGCCUAGUGGUUAGAGAGUAGAGGUGGCAGGUAGCCUAGUGGUUAGAGAGUAGAGGUGGCAGGUAGCCUAGUGGUUAGAGAGUAGAGGUGGCAGGUAGCCUAGUGGUUAGAGAGUAGAGGUGGCAGGUAGCCUAGUGGUUAGAGAGUAGAGGUGGCAGGUAGCCUAGUGGUUAGAGAGUAGAGGUGGCAGGUAGCCUAGUGGUUAGAGUGUAGAGGUGGCAGGUAGCCUAGUGGUUAGAGUGUAGAGGUGGCAGGUAGCCUAGUGGUUAGAGUGUAGAGGUGGCAGGUAGCCUAGUGGUUAGAGUGUAGAGGUGGCAGGUAGCCUAGUGGUUAGAGAGUUGGGCCAGUAACAGAAAGGUUGCUAGAUUGAAUCCCCAAGCUGACAAGGUAACAAUUUGUCGUUCUGCCUCUGGACAUGGCAGUUAACCCACUGUUCCUAGACCAUCAUUUGAAGUAAGAAUUUGUUCUUAACUGACUUGUCUGGUUAAAUGAAAUAAUUUUUUUUUUGUUAUCUCAACCAG
rnacentral:lncRNA from 1 species